GAUAUGUAGAGAUGCGCGACAGAGCUAUUGAUACACAUGUUCUUGGAAAACUCAAUAAUGGAGCACAAGAGGGAUCUGCAAACAUGGUGCUUGUACUGGAGCCAAAGGGUGCAGAAAGUUAACUACAGAGCCAGAACAAGCUGAAGCGGCAGCGUUUCUUGAGGCAGUCACUUGGGCUAAGGAGAAAAGGCUAACAAAAGUAAUUUUUGAAGGAGAUUGUUCAAAUGUCAUCAAUGCUGUGAAUGGGAACUUCUCAGCAGUUAAGUGGACAAACUUAAAUUUUAUUUCAGAUGCAUUAGUUUUUCUUAAACAAUUUAGGUUUUGGUCUUGUGUUUACUCUCAUAGAGACACAAAUAAUGUAGCUGAUGUGAUCAGCAAGUAUGCUAGGACUUCACCAAUCGGUCAAUAAUGGGAUCUAAAUCUUCCACUAUGGUUGAGCAAUGCCAUUCAAAUGGAUCUGAACAACUUGUAAAAGUCCUUUUUAUUAAUGAAUUUCUUUUUCUAUUAAAAAAAAUAAGAAUGUCCUCUUUUGAAAAUUAAACGAUCAA